GCUGGUGUAGCUCAGUUGGUAGAGCAGCUGAUUUGUAAUCAGCAGGUCGGGGGUUCAAGU
rnacentral:tRNA from 1 species